rnacentral:rRNA from 1 species
AGCGAACGCUGGCGGCAGGCCUAACACAUGCAAGUCGAACGAAGUCUUCGGACUUAGUGGCGGACGGGUGAGUAACACGUGGGAACGUACCCUUUGGUUCGGAACAACUCAGGGAAACUUGAGCUAAUACCGGAUGAGCCCUUAGGGGGAAAGAUUUAUCGCCGAAAGAGCGGCCCGCGUUAGGUUAGCUAGUUGGUGAGGUAAAGGCUCACCAAGGCUACGAUCUAUAGAUGGUCUGAGAGGAUGAUCAGCCACACUGGGACUGAGACACGGCCCAGACUCCUACGGGAGGCAGCAGUGGGGAAUCUUGCGCAAUGGGCGAAAGCCUGACGCAGCCAUGCCGCGUGAAUGAUGAAGGUCUUAGGAUUGUAAAAUUCUUUUACCAGGGACGAUAAUGACGGUACCUGGAGAAAAAGCCCCGGCUAACUUCGUGCCAGCCGCCGCUGUAAAAC